GCCUGGGUGGCUCAGUUGGUUAAGCGUCCGACUUUGGCUCAGGUCAUGGUCUCACAGUUUGUGGGUUCGAGCCCCGCAUCGGGCU
rnacentral:tRNA from 1 species